UUCUUAUCAAGAGAGACGGAGGGAUCUGGCCCUACGAAGUCUCAGCAACCAGCCUAAAUGGUCAGGUGCUAACUCCAGCAAGUGUUUAAAGCUUGAUAGAUAAGAA
rnacentral:ncRNA from 1 species